rnacentral:rRNA from 1 species
UGAGGAAUAUUGCGCAAUGGCCGAAAGGCUGACGCAGCGACGCCGCGUGAAGGAUGAAGUCCGUUAGGACGUAAGCUUCUUUUGCAGGGGAUGAAUGUUCCCGCUUUGGCGGGACUUGACCGUACCCUGCGAAUAAGGAUCGGCUAACUACGUGCCAGCAGCCGCGGUAAUACGUAGGAUCCGAGCGUUGUCCGGAUUUACUGGGUGUAAAGGGCGUGUAGGUGGAUCGGCAAGUCGAUGGUGAAAUCCUGCGGCUCAACCGCAGAAUUGCCUUCGAAACUACCGAUCUUGAGUGCGGCAGAGGGAGACGGAAUUCAUGGUGUAGCGGUGAAAUGUGUAGAUAUCAUGAAGAACACCGGUUGCGAAGGCGGUCUCCUGGUCCGUUACUGACACUGAGGCGCGAAAGCGUGGGGAGCAAACAGGAUUAGAUACCCUGGUAGUCCACGCCCUAAACGAUGGGUACUCGGUGUUGGACCGUAAGGUUCAGUGCCAAAGUUAACGCAUUAAGUACCCCACCUGGGGAGUACGAUCGCAAGGUUG